rnacentral:rRNA from 1 species
UACGUAGGUGGCAAGCGUUGUCCGGAUUUACUGGGCGUAAAGAGCGCGCAGGCGGUCGUAUAAGUCGAAUGUGAAAGCCCCCGGCUCAACUGGGGAGGGUCAUUCGAUACUGUUCGACUCGAAGGCAGGAGAGGGAAGUGGAAUUCCGGGUGUAGUGGUGAAAUUCGUAGAUAUCGAGAGGAACACCGGUGGCGAAGGCGGCGAUCUGGACGAUGACUGACGCUGAGACGCGAAAGCGUGGGGAGCAAACAGG